rnacentral:tRNA from 1 species
GGUGGCUCAGUGGUAGAGUGCUUGCCUUGCAGGUAUGAAGCCCUGGGUUCAAUUCCUCAGCACCA